UACGUAGGGGGCAAGCGUUGUCCGGAAUGACUGGGCGUAAAGGGAGUGUAGGCGGCCUUGCAAGUUAGAUGUGAAAUCCUACGGCUUAACCGUAGAACUGCAUCUAAAACUGUGAGGCUGGAGUGCAGGAGAGGGCGGUGGAACUCCAUGUGUAGCGGUAAAAUGCGUAGAUAUAUGGAAGAACACCAGUGGCGAAGGCGGCCGCCUGGCCUGUUGCUGACGCUGAGGCACGAAAGCGUGGGGAGCAAAUAGG
rnacentral:rRNA from 1 species